rnacentral:rRNA from 1 species
CCUACGGGUUGCAGCAGUGGGGAAUCUUAGACAAUGGGGGCAACCCUGAUCUAGCCAUGCCGCGUGAACGAUGAAGGCCUUAGGGUUGUAAAGUUCUUUCAGCUGGGAAGAUAAUGACGGUACCAGCAGAAGAAGCCCCGGCUAACUCCGUGCCAGCAGCCGCGGUAAUACGGAGGGGGCUAGCGUUGUUCGGAAUUACUGGGCGUAAAGCGCACGUAGGCGGACUAUUAAGUCAGGGGUGAAAUCCCGGGGCUCAACCCCGGAACUGCCUUUGAUACUGGUAGUCUUGAGUUCGAGAGAGGUGAGUGGAAUUCCGAGUGUAGAGGUGAAAUUCGUAGAUAUUCGGAGGAACACCAGUGGCGAAGGCGGCUCACUGGCUCGAUACUGACGCUGAGGUGCGAAAGCGUGGGGAGCAAACAGGAUUAGAUACCCGAGUAGUC